AGCGUGGGGUUGCCAUGGCAACCGGCGCGGGCAGCCCUAGGGAUCCUCUGGAAUAGAAUUCCCGUGCCAGCUGCGCUCCGCCUUGGGGUGAGCCGGCAGCCAUUCCCUUCCCACACCGUGAGCCCAGGUCCCUCCUUCAGUGCCUUUAGUUAAACCAGGGGUUGUGCUCCAGUUAAACCAGGGGUCGAGCUAGCUUCGCUCCCCGUUGGCCGACGCGCCCUUGCUUCAGGGUGAGGUUGCCGUUUCCAGAUAGCGUUUAUAUAUAACUGCUGAGAGACUUUUGUGUUCCCAACACUUUCCUAUCAGGAGUGACUUAGAGGAGAGAAGCAGUGUGGUGCAGUGGUGAUCCUGAUUUAACUGGUCUCCAGUGGAGUCGUGGCUGAUCUUCAGAGGAGAGUCCAGAGUAACUGAGAGGGAUUUCCUAUUGAGGAAACAAAAAUUCUCCUGGAUAUAAUUGAAGGUUGUUUAGCUUUCAUGGGAUGAAGCAAUUUCAAAUGUGAUUCAUUUUAUCCCUGGCCUCUCUUAUGCACGGUUCAUUCUCUGGAAUAACAAGACCAAGUGGUGUUCCUGCAGGGUGAACCCAUGACAUGUUGGUAACUUCAGUGCCUCAGCCACUGAAGCAAGAUUUAAUGGAAAAUAGACACAUUUUAUGAAAAACUGUCAGAGACACACCCAGAAAUAAUGUUUCACCAGCUCUUUGGACAUCCCUUAGACCUGUCAAGUUGACACAGAAAUUAACCAGUAUAGUGCCCAACAGCCAGCAGCCCCAUUGUGAAGACACUAAAAGCAGCCCUAUGAAGGUGCCCCCAUGGCAAAAUCCCAACAGGGAACAGAAGCUUUCUGCCAAUAGUCAUGUGAAUGAGCCAUGUUGGAAGUGGACCUUCCAGCCCAACUUGACAUCCUGACUGUAACCUCAGGAGAGAUUCUGAGACACAGCCACCCAGUUGAAGAAAUCCAAUUCAGCCUUAUUUUAAAAAAAGUUGACUUACCAGCCUGUGUGACUGGAGUGAGGAGGAACUGGCAUCAGGUGCAGCUAGCUGGAAGAAGAAACAAAAUGGUCCUUCCUUCUCUUUUGAGCGCUGCUCAGCCAUCCCUUGGCUUUCUGUAUGUUGAUUGGCCUGGUUUGGUUAGUGUACAACCCUAGACCCUGGGGGGAGACAUCUAGGUCCUUGCUACUCCCAGUGUUGUCUACACCAUAGCAGCAGAGGCUUUAUCUGUGAGCUUCUUAGAAAUGCAGACUCUCCCGCCCACACCCUGCAGAGUCAGAAUCUGCAUAUUAAAAGAUCCCUAGUUGGUUGGUGUGCAUAUUAAAGUUUGACAAUGUCUCUAUCAGACCACUGCGGCUGGGAAAAGGGGUUUUUAAACUUGGCUGGGCCUGGGUCUCAUUGGCAUUAAAAGGAAUAUAGGGGUAUGAAGGGCAGCUCAGCUCUACUAGAAUCACAGGACUGGGCUGAGGGAA